UCAACAGACAAAAGGUAGAACUGACGAAAAUAAAACUAAAUUAUAUUGAUGAUGAUGAUGAUGAUGAUGAUGAUGAUGAUGAUGAUGAUGAUGAUGAUGAUGAUGAUGAUGAUGAUGAUGAUGAUGACGAUGACGACGACGACGACGACGAUGAUGAUGAUGAGGAUUUCAUAAUAAUAAAAAAGGAGGCGUAAAAGUCAGAUAGAAUUCACUGAAGCAGAUUUUCUAUGGCUGGAUGCCCUUCCUGUGAACUACCAUCACCUUUUCCCAAACAUGGCCCAACAGGUUUUUCACAGAAGACAGGGAUGGUGAUGCUUGUUUACAACCCUUAUACCAUGUCAAGAAGAGGAUGAAAACACGUGUGUGUGUGUGUGUAUGCUAUGUAUGCCUGUUGAGAAUUCAGUGCCAGUGUGACUAGUAAUUUCAUCUUGAGCAGAAACCCUUGAACCCAACAAUACCUGUUUAGGAGUAAACUAUCUUCUGUUAGCUUGAAUUGGGAUGUGUUAAGUUCUUGAGAAAUCAUUAACAUUUUGAGCAGAAUCUUUCAUAAGAAGAAAAGAAUGUACUAACUUUUUGAACUGACAAAGCAAGAAAUUUUCAGACAUGUCUGGCUAUCAGGAAAGAAUAUCUUGGUUGGAAGCAGUUUAAGAUUAGUGACAGGAAGAGCAUCUGGCAGUAGAAAAUCUGCCUCAACAAAUGUGACAAUUAAAAAACGAUGAUGGUAUGAUGAUGAUGACAACAACGAUGAUAAUGAUGAUACAUGCAUAUGCACAUACAUACAUACAUACGUACAUACAUACAUACAUACAUACAUACAUACAUACAUAAUUAGGCAUACUACAAAUUAUAUCAUUGAGUUAUGUCUUUUUGAACUUAACCUCAUUUUUUAAAGAAAUUAAUGGAAGAAAUAAACCUGAACUUCAUUUGAAUUAUCUGACUUUACGCCAGU